UCUUGUAAUGAAGAGAGGCAGCUGUGGCUAGAUUAAGGAAGAGGUGUGCUCCUAAGCCUCAGUGGAAUUUACUUUGGGAGUAUUGCUCAGAUGAGACAUCCUGGCUGGUCAGAGGUGGGUGGUGUCAUAAAUAAAUGGCAGUUAAAUUGAGAAAGAGAAAGAGGAGAUGAGAAAGUGUAAGGAAUAAUAAUCAGAAGUUGAAAAUCCCUAAGGAAAAUAUCACACGUACUGUAUCUGAAGUAUGGUGCAAUGUUUAAGGUCAAAGUUAUUCUAUCUUUAAGCCACAUCAUUGCCAAUAUUAAGAAUAAAAAGAAGAGAUACUGUAAAUAGUCUUGAUACUGUGUUUUUCCUUUCGGCUUUGGUAUAAAUACUUGCAAUAUCACUGUCAUUUAAGUCCCUCCUGUUUAGACCAGACCUACCUUUUCCACAUUCUUUCUGUGCUUUUGCCAUUUCCACCACACCAGCCUACUCUGACCUUGAGCAAGUCUCCCCCAGUAUCUCUGUUUCCUUUCUGUAAAACGUGUGCUUUUCUGUAAAACGUGGGUACAGCAAGUCUGAGAGACAAAAAAUGCCCUUCGUGAACAUCAUCAUACUGGGUGCUGUGAACAUAGCUUAAGGAAAUAGGCUCUCAAACACAAGGUGAAUUCAGGUUUAAAAUGGCUACAGUGACAUGUUGAUUUAAAAUUCCUGUUCCAGUUGCCCUUGGCUUUUUGGGGUGUUUCAAAAUUGGAAUUCCAAUGAAGGACACUGCAGCAAGAUUCAAUGCAAUGUGUCUGAGGGCUCACACGUGCUGGUUCACAUCAGUGCCUUUUAGUACCUAGGGAUGGCUGCCAGUCAAAGGCUCCCUUCAUCCAAGAUCAAAUUAACUUCAUGUCAUUCAGCAAUGCCCGCUCUGCAUGCAUCUGCUGCAUCUCCUCUCUUGUUUAGACUAGUGAGGACAGGGACUGCACAUCUGAAAUGUUUGCUGUAAUGUUCACAGUCACGUUUUUAGACAGGCUUGAAAGAAAACCGUGUGAAAACAGGGCCGAGCACACAAGCAUUUCAGUAACAGCUUUAGAUAUAACCAGGUACCCUGAACUUAUCAUAUUUGAUAAGAAAAGAGGAUCCUGUGUUCAUGGAGGUGCUAGGGAUGCCACAGCAUUUCCUGGAAACAUGAAAGACAGGGAGGUGAAUGGAACUAGGAGUCAGCAUGGACUCAGCAAGGGAAAGCCUGCUUGCAAAACCUGAUAACCUUCUAUAGCAGAAUGACUGACUUGGGAAGUGAGGAAAGGGUAGCAGUCAUCGUACACUCAGACUUCAGGAAGGCUUUCCACACUGUCUGCUAGAGGAGCUGCAUGAGCAGACAGGGAGAAAAACUGACUGAGCAGCUAGGACCAGAAGGUGUUGACCAAGUCUAGUUGGAGGUCAGGAACCAGUGGUGGAGGCCAAGGCAAGGGGCAUUGGCAGCAGGUGGAAGGAGGUGGUCCUUCCCAUCUGCUGUAUCCUGCUCUGGGCUCCAGGUAACUCCCCACAUGGGGCUGGGGUCAUGUGGGCACAGACGGGCACCGUGGCAGCAGCAUUUCUCAUGUCUACUGCUCUCCGCUCGGCAGGGAGGGCCUCACAGACACUGAGCCCGUGCUGCGCAUGGGCAUGAAGCUGAGCUGGGGAUGCAAGAGGAGUGAGAGGUGCCUUCUCCUCCUCCAGGAGGAACUGGUCAUCGCCAAGUUGCAGUAAGAGCCUCAGAGCCCAGCUGCCUUUUCUCCAUCCCUGGCCCUGGGACCAGGGAAGGGACACCCUGGCACCAGCCCCAGGCCCUGGGACCUUGGUGCUGGAUGCACCAAUGUUUGUCCCAAGGGUAAGUGGGACCCCAAGGAGGCCACCCCCAGCUCACUGCCUACCUCUCCUCCACAGAAGUGGCACCACCCUGUGCCUACAGCUCCGCCUGGCCCUGGUGCUGAGAGGCAAGAAGGAGGUAGCGGGGGAGGAAGAAGAGGAGGAAGAAAAGGAAGGCAGCAAUGAGGACAAGACCUCCAUCAUCUUCAUCUGACCCCCCCAUUGCCACUUUUGGUUAUUCCCAGUGCUGCUGAUCACCUAAAGACCUCUCAUCCCUCUGCAGCAGCUGCUGUCCAUCGCUCAUGAGGCUGGCUGUAUUCAGGCAUUAUGAGACAUGGUAAAUUGCACUGAACUGUGGUGGAAUAAUUCUCAGCGCUGUCACUCUGCCUGAGGACCCUGCACCUUAAUGGUUUCAGUUCCCAGCAAAAUCAAACCACAGGGAAAUGCACUCAGCAUAUCGCAAGGAGGAUUAAACAUAAUGUGUGUUUUUUAAAUCACUGUCUUUUGUGUUCUGUUGAUGGAGAUACGACCUAGGCAUGGGCAAAAUUAUGUCACUGUCAUAAUCUUAAAGGGCUGGUUUUGCUUUGGUGAAGUCCUUCGCAUAAUACCAUUUGCCAUCACUGGUGCAGAAUGUGUGCCUCGCAGAUGAAGUUUUCUGCAUGAUGCCUUAA